AGAGGACAAAGAUACCUUUCUAACACAAACACCACAAUUGCUGUGGGGCAAGUCAUGUCAUACAUGAAAACUAACCAUAAAGAAACCAACACAGCUGCAGUAACUAACACUGCUGCAUGAACUUGCUGUCUCACUGGACCAAAGCAGCUCAGUGAAGCACUGGCAUGUUCCUGCCUCAGACUGCAAAUACCUCCUCUGCAGCCCUAACCAUGACAGCAGAGGAGCACAUUUGAGCGUCGCUACUCAUACCCCAACACCUCUUCCCCCAGCCUCCGGGGAGGCAUACAGCAAGCAGAGCACUAUUUUAACCCAAUUCUACCUUCCCACUUGUUUUACAGAGCCAUGAACACAACAAGCUUCCCUGACCGUUCAUUUCUUUGCCUGAAAACAAGAAAAAUAAGCAGCUGACUGCUUUGCAGGGGCAUUAGUCAAUAGCGGUGAAGCAUGUUGAGGUGCAUCGAUUGUAUCUUAUGUAAGUCAAUGUAACAGCAGGGCUUAACCCCUUUGGGCCCUGCUCAGUGGGCAGCCCGUCAGAGCGCUGCAAGUUACCAACUGUUCCACCGGGCACUGGGCAUUUCAGCAGCUCGUUUAUUCCUGCUGCAACGCAAAGAUUAACAACGAGCAAAUAGCUGUCAAAUUGCAGCCUGCCGCCCAGAGCAGACACAAAGCAGUACCGGCACAGCAGAGGCUCUCCAGACACACACCGGCGCAUUUCCAGAGGCGCUGUCUCCCCGCACAGCCAUCGAGAGCUGCCACAAGUUCCCUGCCCGACCCCUCUGGGGGGCCCUGAGGGGCGCAGGGCAAAACCUGCACAAGCUGACUCAGGCGAAGCAUUAGCCAAAGAAAGGCAAGAGAUAAACAGACAC